UUCAGCUUGAAAAAAACCAAAACAUAUUGGUCAACCCCUAGUGCAGUCUAUAUGUAUCUGUUUGUAUUUAUGUGUCUAAGCAUGUGUUCAUCAUUUUGUUAUUUUGUGUGUUAACAGGUUGGUUAGAAUCCUUUUCUGAUCUGAUGUGUUCCGGUCUCCUGAGAUAGGAGGCACUGUUUCUAAAAUGAAUUUCUCUGGGGAGCCAGAAACCAAAGCAGGAAUCCUCAGCCCUGAUAGAAAUAGGGUCCAGGAUGAAAGAGCAGGGUCACCUGUACCCAGCUGUCUGUCCAUGAAGAGUGAUCAUUCAAUGGAUGAUCCAAUUGUUUUUAAAGGGGAAUUCACAGGUGAUUCAAGGGUCCAGGAGGAAAGAGCAGGGGCACCUGUACCCAGCUGCCUGUCUAUGAAGAGUGAUCAUUCAAUGGAUGAUCCAAUUGUCUUUAAAGGGGAAUCCACAGGCGAUUCAAG